UACGGGGGGGGCAAGCGUUGUUCGGAAUUACUGGGCGUAAAGGGCUCGUAGGCGGCCAACUAAGUCAGACGUGAAAUCCCUCGGCUUAACCGGGGGAACUGCGUCUGAUACUGGAUGGCUUGAGUUUGGGAGAGGGAUGCGGAAUUCCAGGUGUAGCGGUGAAAUGCGUAGAUAUCUGGAGGAACACCUGCGGCGAAGGGCGGGUUG
rnacentral:rRNA from 1 species